AUACGCAUCCUUUGCUGAGGAGACGGUUAACGGAGCGAAAGCGACGUUCAACCUCAAAAGAAGCAGAGGGGGCUUAGUGGUGGGGUGACUGCGUACCUUUUGUAUAAUGGGUCAGCGACUUAUAUUCUGUAGCAAGGUUAACUGUAUAGGGGAGCCGGAGGGAAACCGAGUCUUAACCGGGCGUUAAGUUGCAGGGUAUAGACCCGAAACCCGGUGAUCUAGCCAUGGGCAGGUUGAAGGUUGGGUAACACUAACUGGAGGACCGAACCGACUAAUGUUGAAAAAUUAGCGGAUGACCUGUGGCUGGGGGUGAAAGGCCAAUCAAACCGGGAGAUAGCUGGUUCUCCCCGAAAGCUAUUUAGGUAGCGCCUCGUGAAUUCAUCUCCGGGGGUAGAGCACUGUUUCGGCUAGGGGGCCAUCCCGGCUUACCAACCCGAUGCAAACUGCGAAUACCGGAGAAUGUUAUCACGGGAGACACACGGCGGGUGCUAAUGUCCGUCGUGAAGAGGGAAACAACCCAGACCGCCAGCUAAGGUCCCAAAGUCAUGGUUAAGUGGGAAACGAUGUGGGAAGGCCCAGACAGCCAGGAUGUUGGCUUAGAAGCAGCCAUCAUUUAAAGAAAGCGUAAUAGCUCACUGGUCGAGUCGGCCUGCGCGGAAGAUGUAACGGGGCUAAACCAUGCACCGAAGCUGCGGCAGCGACACCGUGUGUUGUUGGGUAGGGGAGCGUUCUGUAAGCCUGUGAAGGUGUGCUGUGAGGCAUGCUGGAGGUAUCAGAAGUGCGAAUGCUGACAUAAGUAACGAUAAAGCGGGUGAAAAGCCCGCUCGCCGGAAGACCAAGGGUUCCUGUCCAACGUUAAUCGGGGCAGGGUGAGUCGACCCCUAAGGCGAGGCCGAAAGGCGUAGUCGAUGGGAAACGGGUUAAUAUUCCCGUACUUGGUGUUACUGCGAAGGGGGGACGGAGAAGGCUAUGUUGGCCGGGCGACGGUUGUCCCGGUUUAAGCGUGUAGGUAUGUGUUCCAGGUAAAUCCGGUUCACUUUAACACUGAGGCGUGACGACGAGGCACUACGGUGCUGAAGCAACAAAUGCCCUGCUUCCAGGAAAAGCCUCUAAGCAUCAGGUAACAUCAAAUCGUACCCCAAACCGACACAGGUGGUCAGGUAGAGAAUACCAAGGCGCUUGAGAGAACUCGGGUGAAGGAACUAGGCAAAAUGGUGCCGUAACUUCGGGAGAAGGCACGCUGACACGUAGGUGAAGUGAUUUACUCACGGAGCUGAAGUCAGCCGAAGAUACCAGCUGGCUGCAACUGUUUAUUAAAAACACAGCACUGUGCAAACACGAAAGUGGACGUAUACGGUGUGACGCCUGCCCGGUGCCGGAAGGUUAAUUGAUGGGGUCAGCGCAAGCGAAGCUCCUGAUCGAAGCCCCGGUAAACGGCGGCCGUAACUAUAACGGUCCUAAGGUAGCGAAAUUCCUUGUCGGGUAAGUUCCGACCUGCACGAAUGGCGUAAUGAUGGCCAGGCUGUCUCCACCCGAGACUCAGUGAAAUUGAACUCGCUGUGAAGAUGCAGUGUACCCGCGGCAAGACGGAAAGACCCCGUGAACCUUUACUAUAGCUUGACACUGAACAUUGAGCCUUGAUGUGUAGGAUAGGUGGGAGGCUUUGAAGUGUGGACGCCAGUCUGCAUGGAGCCGACCUUGAAAUACCACCCUUUAAUGUUUGAUGUUCUAACGUGGACCCGUGAUCCGGGUUGCGGACAGUGUCUGGUGGGUAGUUUGACUGGGGCGGUCUCCUCCUAAAGAGUAACGGAGGAGCACGAAGGUUGGCUAAUCCUGGUCGGACAUCAGGAGGUUAGUGCAAUGGCAUAAGCCAGCUUGACUGCGAGCGUGACGGCGCGAGCAGGUGCGAAAGCAGGUCAUAGUGAUCCGGUGGUUCUGAAUGGAAGGGCCAUCGCUCAACGGAUAAAAGGUACUCCGGGGAUAACAGGCUGAUACCGCCCAAGAGUUCAUAUCGACGGCGGUGUUUGGCACCUCGAUGUCGGCUCAUCACAUCCUGGGGCUGAAGUAGGUCCCAAGGGUAUGGCUGUUCGCCAUUUAAAGUGGUACGCGAGCUGGGUUUAGAACGUCGUGAGACAGUUCGGUCCCUAUCUGCCGUGGGCGCUGGAGAACUGAGGGGGGCUGCUCCUAGUACGAGAGGACCGGAGUGGACGCAUCACUGGUGUUCGGGUUGUCAUGCCAAUGGCACUGCCCGGUAGCUAAAUGCGGAAGAGAUAAGUGCUGA
rnacentral:rRNA from 2 species